AUGCCAUGGUAAGGGUAUUUCCUUGAUAGCUCUUUAAACCUCUCCCAUGCAUCAGGAACAACUUCAUCGUCCAUUUGUUUAAAAAAGACAUAUUUCAUUUCUAGACUU